UCUCUCCAGCAGCACUCUGAGUGAAGCACAGCCAAGCUGACGCCACUCAGACAAUCAGCCGCUUCGUGAGAGUCUGGACAGCUGAAGAUCAUUCCACUAAUCACCUGCCUCUGCUACAAAAGACCGGUUCACUCCUCCAUUCUCCGCCAGAUUGUUGUACUUGACAGACCCGGCCUGCUGUCCAGACUCCUGCCUGCCGUGCUCUGCUUGUUCUCAGCCGGUUCGUUCCUCAUCCCCGCCUGGACCAUCUACGUCUGCCCUUCCUUCUCCCGCGACACCAUCCCUCCCGGAUCUCCAUCCCCAAACCAAGCCCCACCGCCGCCAGAGAUCCCAUAACUAUCUGCCGCCACACUCGACUCCCCCACGGAACCGACGACGGCCGCCGAUCCCCAGCUCCCCCUCUCCAGAACCAGACGAACCUCCAGGUGCAUUCUGAACUCACCCCCAGACCCACUUCAUUUGCCACUAAACCUCCUUAAAUCUCCAUUCCUGCCUCGGUAGUGUGCUCCUCUGCUCGAGUCCAACCUAAAACCGUGACAUUAACAAGAUUCUGAACAGUUUAUUGUAGCCAGCAAGAUGUAAUUCAACAUAUCUUAGAUGUAAUUACACUACAGCUAAGGUAAUGUUUUAACUAGCUGCAUAUACACUGGAUGUGUCAGGAUUGUGGGGUGUGGAAAACCCAGGCGCAGACAUUACAGACACAACACUGGACAUAAUUAAAGGAUUUAUUAAGCAAAAACGAAAAUCCCUACAAACUGAAAGCGGGACUGAAAUGGACACUAAAAACAAAACUAGACAGUGGCAAACGACAAGGCUAAAAAGGUACUUACAUACGGCGAGACAAACAACUAGGGCAAGAGCAAACUGGAGUCCAACAAACAAUUUGAGUUCAAAGGGGGUAAUCCAGAAAAAGGUGAAAAAGUGAAGAAGUCCAACAAACUGAUGAAAUCCAGUAGGGAAGGUGGGGAGUGGAGAGAGAAGCAGCAUGUAAAUCCAACUAUGCGCCAGCAAAGAACUGAGGGAAAGGCAGGGCUUAAAUAGGAGGGAAGGAGACCAGGUGAUAUGAAUGGAGCUAAUUGACUGCAGUUGACAGUGAUCAGUUAAUGAGGUGACAGAGCCAGGGGACGAGCAACUGGGAGAGAGACAGAAGGGGAAGACAACAGACAGAGGGAGACAGAGACACACAAGCCCAAAAACAUACACAAAGGACAAUAACCAUAACAGGAUGUGGAUUCUGCCAACUUUAAUGUUACAACUGUUUUCCAAGACUAUAACCUUCAAAGCUUGCAGGUAUGCCUUCAUCUAAAGUGCAUAAUGUCUUUACUGAUUCCAAUCAGGACCAAGACCUCGGGCCUUUAACAGAAAGGCAUAUUAUAACAGUAAAAAUAAUUGAAUUUCGAUGAAUAAUAUUAAAAGACUUUCAAAUGUACAACACACUCAUUUCAUGAAUACCUGAUGUUGAUUACAUAUCAGUACAUAUUCAUUAAUAUUUGGAGUUAUUCAUUCACACAGAGAUUUGUCGCACAAGCAAAAAUAAGUCCUUCAGCAUUUCACCUCUUAUGCACACACCUGGAGCAGUCAGGUGCAACCACUGAACAGUAAAGACACCUUGCUCAAAGGCACCUAAGCAGCACUCGCGGAACACACUUUUUUGCACAAGACAACCACACUCUAAUUUGUUAGACUGCAGUCCGCUAAUAGAUUGAAUUAAGUGUUGGUUAUGCACACAGUUCAGGGGAAAAAGGCAGGAACUGGGUAAACUACUAUUAGCAUGGCCAUAACAAUUAAUCAUUGUUAUUAUAUAUCUUGUAUGAUUUAAAUCAUUGCCUUUUCAGUUUGUCAUGCGUGAUUUAAACUACAGGGUAAGAGUGCACAAUGCAAAAUAAGCUCGAUUGGAAAAUACACAUUACAUGUUAAACAGCUGAAACAUGCUGAACAAAUUUCAACCCAAAGCUGCAGCUAAGGAUUGCUGUUAUUAUUGCAAAGUAAUCUGUAGAUUAUUUUCCCAAUUAACUGACUGAUUUUUGGCCUACAAAAUGUCAAAGAUUUAAAAAAAAUCCCAAUACACAAAAUAACAUCCUCAAAUGUCUUGUUUUGUCCACAGCCUAAGAAAUAUUCUCUUUAUUGACAAAGAGGAGGUCAUUUUAACGAGGCUAAAAUCAGAUUAAAAAAAAAAAAACUUAAACUGACUGACCGAUUUUCAAAAUGGUUGCCGAUUAAAUGAAUAGCUGACUACUGGUUAAUUUUUGCAGCUCUUAAGCUCACUGUCUAUAAUCAAGUUGUGAUGCAGGAUUAAAGCAGCAGUGCAAAUGCUCACAAUGCAUUGCAAAUUAAAUACACAUUUAGCUACAUGUUAAAAUGUUGAAGAAAAAGAGUGCAGCAGACACAAACUUCAAUCCAGAGAUUUAGUCACACAUGAGCAAUUAUGAAGUUUUUAAGAACCCGAGAAGCGCCUGAGCUAAUCAGCUAUAUAGUUCUGUUUACUCCACCGUGAGCCUCACUAUACUUCCAAAAUUAUUAUUAUUAUCAUUACUAUUAUUAUAAUUAGGAAGACAAGGGUCGAUCCUGACAACAUGAACUUCAGCGACACUAACUCAUCUGUCGGUAAUCCAUACUCACAUCUCUGGUUGUGGCGCCUGCCUUUAAACAUGGUCACUGUGGGAGAUAAAUCUGCUGUUCUUUCCGGAGAUGUUCUACUGCUGGAGUUUCCUGGAUCCAGACUGUCAGAGACCUGCAACUACACAGCGAGCCGCUCCGGACCGUACCAUUCAGCAGGAGCCCAGGGGGAGCGCCGACUCAAACACUCCGCUCAGCAAAAACAGAGAUUGAACCAAAACAGCCAACAGAAAGAAAGCAGAUGCCUGCAAAACGGGUUGCGGGCACUGAGGCAGAGGACCUGGCCCUAAACCAGAAUUUGGGAAGGCCAGUGGCUGAAGGAAUCCCUGGAGGGAGCACCACAACCGACCUUGUAACUGUAAGUACGCAAUACUCAAAAGAUUUUGCCAAAUGGUAUACCAGUAUAUACUGAAACAUAUCACUCAUCUCGGAUGAAGAGGAUGAAACUGUGUCUGCUGCCUUCACAGAGGGGGAUUCAGAAAGGCAUAUAGAGCCAAAGACACAAGAAGAAAGGUGCCGCGUGUGGAUUAAGCAGUGUGGGAGACCGCAUGAUCAGCUGAAUCCCUCCAAAAUCAAUAAGAACGCCUACGUCUCUUCUAAGAUGCUCGUGAUUACAGGACGACAAGAACAGCAGCCAGUGGAGCUACAGUGUGCAACACAAGGCAACCAAAUAUUUCUCUCUGUUUGCUGUAACAAAACAUGUUCACCUGAGAUCUUCUCAGCCUUUCACUAUAACUCCUUUUGUCUGAGGUGGAAACCAGUUGUGUGGCUGUUGUGUUUUUCAGUGUGUUGUGGUUUUUCAGCAUGCAUAAUGAUGAGAGGAGCCUCUGUAAGCAGAUGGAGACAGGACAUGUGAAUUUGUGCUGACAGUGGUGUGGAUAUUUCUGUGUUGUGACAACAUAAAACACUGUGUUAUUUAUGGGUAUGUUUUUUGUACCACUAUGAAUGAACAGCUUGAACAAUUAAAAGCUUUUAUCGCUUGUAA